GAUGAAGAACGCAGCGAAAUGCGAUACUUGGUGUGAAUUGCAGAAUCCCGUGAACCAUCGAGUCUUUAAACGCAAGUUGCGCCCGAAGCCACUAGGCCGAGGGCACGCCUGCCUGGGCGUCACACGCCGUUGCCCCCCCAUCUACUCCUUCGGGAUUGCGGGGGGGCGGAUGAUGGCCUCCCGUGCGCCUAGCCGCGCGGUUGGCAUAAAUACCAAGUCCUCGGCGACGCACGCCACGACAAUCGGUGGUUGCGAAACCUCGGUUGCCCGUCGUGUGCGUUCGUCGCGCAUCGAGGGCUCGAAAAAAUGCUCGGCUCCGGCUGGGCUUUCAACGCGACCCCAGGUCAGGCGGGGUUACCCGCUGAAUUUAAGCAUAUCAAUAAGCGGAGGA
rnacentral:misc_RNA from 1 species